AGAUAUUCCCUUAGGAGAGGUAGCUCCUUCACAUUUUUAACACCUGGACCCCACUGGGACUUCACUUUGAAAAGAAAACGAAGAGCAAAAGAUGAUGAUGUCGUAAGCCUUAGCAGCCUUGAUCUGAAGAGGCUACCUCAUGAUGGCUCCUGUGUCCUUCUCCCUCCACCGCCUCCCCCAGCUUUAUUAAGAUAUUAGAGGCCCGGUGCACGAAGAUUCGUGCAAGAAUGGGCCUUCCUUCCCCUGGAUGCUGGCACCGCCUUCGCUCCGGCCAGAGCCACCUUUCUGCCUUU